rnacentral:lncRNA from 1 species
CGGACCAUCCUUAUAAGAUCUUGUUAAACAAAUGGCCGCCAACAAUCUCCAAUUCCAACAAAGGACCGAUUCUAGCAUUCAGACCUUGAACACACAAAUGGGACAACUUGCUACUCAAAUAAAUAACAUGCAAGCCCAAGGGUCGAACCAGCACAAUCUCCAAUUCCAACAAAGGACCGAUUCUAGCAUUCAGACCUUGAACACACAAAUGGGACAACUUGCUACUCAAAUAAAUAACAUGCAAGCCCAAGGGUCGAACCAGCUUCCAGCCCAAACAGUUAUCAAUCCAAGGGAUUCUAAUGCUAAUGUGAGUGUGAUUUCGUUGAGAUCUGGAAAGGUUACAAAAACAACCCCUGAAAAAAAUAAAAAAAUUAUUGAGGUAACAUCUGAA